rnacentral:misc_RNA from 1 species
AAAGGACUUAACAUGGGAGGAAGUUUUAAGCAAAGGGACAAGAUUUUAUAGUGAAGAAUUCAGCAAGUUUUGUGAUAGGAAAAUGAGUGAAAUUGUUGCUAUGUUAGGAUGGAACCGUGCUUGGCCUGAACCACUUUUGCAAGCUUUUUUUGGUGCAUCAAAAGCAGUAUGGUUAGUACAUUUAUUGGCUAACUCAUUACACCCAACUUUGCCUAUUUUCAGAGUGGAUAAAGAGAUGAAAUUUGACUCAAUU